rnacentral:misc_RNA from 1 species
CAUGAGUGGUAUUUGAGUUGUUUGGGAGGACGGGCUCCGUGCUUUGAGCAUCGAACCGUGGUCUCACAUCUCUCUUCAUUGCCUCCUUCCCUGACCCGAUGGUGGAGAACGAGUUCCUGUGUUGCCAACCCAAGAAGGGGAAUUAUCAUGUUGCAAGACCCGUUCUACCUUGUGCUCCCUUGGGGUGCUUGGUGGACAUCGUGGUGGCCCACUAGUUCCAGUCUCUCACCCUCGGUGCGUUUCAUGGACCUAGUGUGUCGCUUGUGCUCUCGGAUGCUGGAAGUGAUGUGGCCAUGGGUGCUUACAUCCUCAAUGGUUGGCCCGACCCUUCGAUUCAUUUAUUAUGACUGCAUCUUCCUUAUCUUUGGUGCUUCGGCUCCGAGCUAGGGAGAUGCGUCGAAUGA